GAUGAACGCUGGCGGCGUGCCUAAUACAUGCAAGUCGAGCGAACGGACGAGAAGCUUGCUUCUCUGAUGUUAGCGGCGGACGGGUGAGUAACACGUGGAUAACCUACCUAUAAGACUGGGAUAACCUCGGGAAACCGGAGCUAAUACCGGAUAAUAUUUUGAACCGCAUGGUUGAAAAGUGAAAGACGGUCUUGCUGUCACUUAUAGAUGGAUCCGCGCUGGAUUAGCUAGUUGGUAAGGUAACGGCUUACCAAGGCAACGAUGCAUAGCCGACCUGAGAGGGUGAUAGCCCACACUGGAACUGAGACACGGUCCAGACUCCUAAGGGAGGCAGCAGUAGGGAAUCUUCCGCAAUGGGCGAAAGCCUGACGGAGCAACGCCGCGUGAGUGAUGAAGGUCUUCGGAUCGGAAAACUCUGUUAUUAGGGAAGAACAUAUGUGUAAGUAACUGUGCACAUCUUGACGGUACCUAAUCAGAAAGCCACGGCUAACUACGUG
rnacentral:rRNA from 1 species